CGGCAAUGGAGGAAACUCUGACCGAGCAACGCCGCGUGAACGAUGAAGUACCUCGGUAUGUAAAGUUCUUUUAUUAAGGAAGAAAAAAGAGUGGAAAAACUCCCUUGACGGUACUUAAUGAAUAAGCCCCGGCUAAUUAUGUGCCAGCAGCCGCGGUAAUACAUAAAGGGCGAGCGUUAUCCGGAAUUAUUGGGCGUAAAGGGUGCGUAGGCGGUUUAAUAAGUCUAUAGUUUAAUUUCAGCGCUUAACGCUGUUGUGCUAUAGAAACUGUUUUACUAGAGUGAGUUAGAGGCAAGCGGAAUUCCAUGUGUAGCGGUAAAAUGCGUAAAUAUAUGGAGGAACACCAGAGGCGUAGGCGGCUUGCUGGGACUUUACUGACGCUGAGGCACGAAAGCGUGGGGAGCAAACAGGAUUAGAUACCCUGGUAGUCCACGCCGUAAACGAUGAGUACUGAGUGUCGGGUAAAACCGGUACUGAAGUUAACACAUUAAGUACUCCGCCUGAGUAGUACGUACGCAAGUAUGAAACUUAAAGGAAUUGACGGGACUCCGCACAAGCGGUGGAUCAUGUUGUUUAAUUCGAAGAUACACGAAAAACCUUACCAGGUCUUGACAUUUUCUUGCGAAGUUAUAGACAUAUAAUGGAGGUUAUCAGGAAAACAGGUGGUGCAUGGUUGUCGUCAGCUCGUGUCGUGAGAUGUUAGGUUAAGUCCUAAAACGAGCGCAACCCUUGUCGUUAAUUGCCAGCAUGUAAUGAUGGGGACUUUAACGAGACUGCCAAUGAAAAAUUGGAGGAAGGUGGGGAUUACGUCAAAUCAUCAUGCCCCUUAUGAUCUGGGCUACAAACGUGAUACAAUGGUUGAUACAAAGAGUAGCUGAA
rnacentral:rRNA from 1 species